UACGUAGGUGGCAAGCGUUGUCCGGAUUUAUUGGGUUUAAAGGGUGCGUAGGCGGUCUUAUAAGUCAGUGCUGAAAUAUCCCGGCUUAACCGGGAGGGUGGCAUUGAUACUGUAGGACUUGAGUAGAGUUGAGGUUGGCGGAAUUGACGGUGUAGCGGUGAAAUGCGCAGAUAUCAGGAGGAACACCGAUGGCGAAGGCAGGUCUCUGGGCCGAUACUGACGCUGAGGAGCGAAAGCGUGGGGAGCGAACAGG
rnacentral:rRNA from 1 species